rnacentral:rRNA from 1 species
AUUGAACGCUGGCGGCAGGCCUAACACAUGCAAGUCGAGCGAGCGGCGGACGGGUGAGUAAUGUAUGGGGACUGCCCGAUCGAGGGGGAUAACUACUGUAAACGGUGGCUAAUCCCGCAUACUAUCGGAUAACCCAUAGGGGAUUAGCUGGUCGGUGGGGUAAAGGCCCACGUAGGCGACGAUCUCUAGCUGGUCUGAGAGGAUGAUCAGCCACACGGGGACUAGGACACGGACCAGACUCCUACGGAGGCAGCAGUGGGGAAUAGUGCACAAUGGGCGAAAGCCUGAUGCAGCCAUGCCGCGUGGAUGAAGAAGGCCUUAGGGUUGUAAAGUACUUUCAGCGGGGAGGCGUUACCCGCAGAAGAAGCACCGGCUAACUCCGUGCCAGCCGCCGCGGUAAUUC